rnacentral:rRNA from 1 species
AUUGAACGCUGGCGGCAGGCUUAACACAUGCAAGUCGAGCGGAGAUGAGGUGCUUGCACCUUAUCUUAGCGGCGGACGGGUGAGUAAUGCUUAGGAAUCUGCCUAUUAGUGGGGGACAACAUUCCGAAAGGAAUGCUAAUACCGCAUACGUCCUACGGGAGAAAGCAGGGGAUCUUCGGGCCUUGCGCUAAUAGAUGAGCCUAAGUCGGAUUAGCUAGUUGGUGGGGUAAAGGCCUACCAAGGCGACGAGCUGUAGCGGGUCUGAGAGGAUGAUCCGCCACACUGGGACUGAGACACGGCCCAGACUCCUACGGGAGGCAGCAGUGGGGAAUAUUGGACAAUGGGGGGAACCCUGAUCCAGCCAUGCCGCGUGUGUGAAGAAGGCCUUAUGGUUGUAAAGCACUUUAAGCGAGGAGGAGGCUACUGAGACUAAUACUCUUGGAUAGUGGACGUUACUCGCAGAAUAAGCACCGGCUAACUCUGUGCCAGCCGCCGCGGUAAGAC